UACGUAGGGUGCAAGCGUUGUCCGGAAUUAUUGGGCGUAAAGAGCUCGUAGGCGGUUUGUCGCGUCUGCUGUGAAAACCCGAGGCUCAACCUCGGGCCUGCAGUGGGUACGGGCAGACUAGAGUGCGGUAGGGGGAGAUUGGAAUUCCUGGUGUAGCGGUGGAAUGCGCAGAUAUCAGGAGGAACACCAAUUGCGAAGGCAGCUCGCUGGGACGUAACUGACGCUGGAGACGCGAAAGCGUGGGGAGCAAACAGG
rnacentral:rRNA from 1 species